rnacentral:lncRNA from 1 species
GCCUUCUACUUUGGAAGGGCCAAUCUCUGCCCCUCACACAGCGCAUGCUAACUCUGUCCUCCCCACCUUCUUCCCACUGGAGUCUCAUCCUAGGAAUGUUUUUGCCCUUAACUGAUGUUGAUAUAAAAGUCACUGAUUCUUAGAGGUCCUGGGAAAGUUCAGCCUCCAACACAGAUUGCUCUCCAGCCAGUGGCUGGGGUGCUAUUGGGACAAGAGACUUCCAAUCUAAGGAUGUUGAAAGCCUUUUGAGGUCAUUUUGUAUCUCAGUACUUUCAGUUUACAUCUGUGAACAGGCUUACCCCAGGACAUCUCCCUGAAAAAUCCUGACUGCUCAUAGGCCGGAACGAUGUGUGCUCCAGCUCACUUACUGGAAGAAAUGGGGACAUCUCCUGCUGGUGAGUGAGGAGCACAGACCCCUUUUCAAGGCCGCCUUUGUGAAGGGCAAGGACACGUGGACUUCAUUUAGUUUAGCAUAAUAAUUUCAGUAUGAGAUAAAAGAAAUAAAAAUUAAACUGUAAAGGAAAAACUAAGAUGUAGCAUUCUCAAAAAUAUAAGAGAAUAAUGCUUCUAAUGUAAGAGGAUUGUGAUUGAAGUACCGACUCCCAUUCCUCUGUGUCACCUGACUGAUGGGGUCACAGUCAUUCUUGGUCCUUACCUUCCUAUUUAUUUGUUUGCUUAUUAAAAUGCUACACAUG